rnacentral:rRNA from 1 species
AACAAACGCUGGCGGCGUGCCUAACACAUGCAAGUCGUACGUGAAAAUCCGCUUCGGUGGAUGAGUACAGUGGUGCACGGGUGAGUAACGCGUGGAUAAUCUGCCCUUUAGUUUGGGAUAACUCAUCGAAAGGUGGGCUAAUACCGGAUGAUGCAGUUUUUACUUCGGUUGGCCAGCCAAAGGGGGCCUCUAUUUAUAAGCUCUUGCUGAAGGAUGCGUCCGCGUAACAUUAGGUUGUUGGCAGGGUAAAAGCCUACCACGGCGACGAUGGUUAGCUGGUCUGAGAGGAUGAUCAGCCACACUGGAACUGAGAUACGGUCCAGACUCCUACGGGAGGCAGCAGUGAGGAAUCUUGCGCAAUGGGGGAAACCCUGACGCAGCAACGCCGCGUGAGUGAGGAAGGUCUUCGGAUCGUAAAGCUCUGUCGGGUGGAAAGAAAUGCAUGGAGGCUAAUACCUUUCAUGCUUGACGGUACCACCGGAGGAAGCACCGGCUAACUCCGUGCCAGCAGCCGCUGUAA